UACGUAGGGGGCGAGCGUUGUCCGGAUUCAUUGGGCGUAAAGAGCUCGUAGGCGGCUUGGUAAGUCGGAUGUGAAAACUCCAGGCUCAACCUGGAGCCGCCAUUCGAUACUGCUAUGGCUAGAGUCCGGUAGGGGAGUGUGGAAUUCCCGGUGUAGCGGUGAAAUGCGCAGAUAUCGGGAGGAACACCGAUGGCGAAGGCAGCACUCUGGGCCGGUACUGACGCUGAGGAGCGAAAGCGUGGGGAGCGAACAGG
rnacentral:rRNA from 1 species